rnacentral:rRNA from 1 species
AUUGAACGCUGGCGGCAGGCCUAACACAUGCAAGUCGAACGGUAACAGGAAGAAGCUUGCUUCUUUGCUGACGAGUGGCGGACGGGUGAGUAAUGUCUGGGAAACUGCCUGAUGGAGGGGGAUAACUACUGGAAACGGUAGCUAAUACCGCAUAACGUCGCAAGACCAAAGAGGGGGACCUUCGGGCCUCUUGCCAUCGGAUGUGCCCAGAUGGGAUUAGCUAGUAGGUGGGGUAACGGCUCACCUAGGCGACGAUCCCUAGCUGGUCUGAGAGGAUGACCAGCCACACUGGAACUGAGACACGGUCCAGACUCCUACGGGAGGCAGCAGUGGGGAAUAUUGCACAAUGGGCGCAAGCCUGAUGCAGCCAUGCCGCGUGUAUGAAGAAGGCCUUCGGUGUAAGUACUUUCAGCGGGGAGGAAGGGAGGUAAAGGUUAAUAACCUUUGCUCAUUGACGUUUACCGCCAGAAGAAGGACACCGG